AAUAGAUGAUACCGUUGACUUUUUCUCACGUGUUUGACCAUUCGUCUUAUUUAAAAAAUUUACGUAAUUAUAAUUUAUUUUAUUAUGAGUUGUUUUAUCACUCAUAGUACUUUAAGUGUGAUUUAUAUCUUAUACAUUUGCAUAGAAUUUUUAAAUAAGACGAAUGGUCAAACAUGUGAGAAAAAGUCAACGGCGUCAUCUAUU
rfam:Oryza sativa Japonica Group DNA, chromosome 11, cultivar: Nipponbare, complete sequence.